CUGGUUUUCCAGGCAAAUCCGGAAAAUCAAGGCUGAGGCGUGAUGACGAGGCACUACGGUGCUGAAGCAACAAAUGCCCUGCUUCCAGGAAAAGCCUCUAAGCAUCAGGUAACAUCAAAUCGUACCCCAAACCGACACAGGUGGUCAGGUAGAGAAUACCAAGGCGCUUGAGAGAACUCGGGUGAAGGAACUAGGCAAAAUGGUGCCGUAACUUCGGGAGAAGGCACGCUGAUAUGUAGGUGAAGUCCCUUGCGGAUGGAGCUGAAAUCAGUCGAAGAUACCAGCUGGCUGCAACUGUUUAUUAAAAACACAGCACUGUGCAAACACGAAAGUGGACGUAUACGGUGUGACGCCUGCCCGGUGCCGGAAGGUUAAUUGAUGGGGUCAGCGCAAGCGAAGCUCUUGAUCGAAGCCCCGGUAAACGGCGGCCGUAACUAUAACGGUCCUAAGGUAGCGAAAUUCCUUGUCGGGUAAGUUCCGACCUGCACGAAUGGCGUAAUGAUGGCCAGGCUGUCUCCACCCGAGACUCAGUGAAAUUGAACUCGCUGUGAAGAUGCAGUGUACCCGCGGCAAGACGGAAAGACCCCGUGAACCUUUACUAUAGCUUGACACUGAACAUUGAGCCUUGAUGUGUAGGAUAGGUGGGAGGCUUUGAAGUGUGGACGCCAGUCUGCAUGGAGCCGGCCUUGAAAUACCACCCUUUAAUGUUUGAUGUUCUAACGUGGACCCGUGAUCCGGGUUGCGGACAGUGUCUGGUGGGUAGUUUGACUGGGGCGGUCUCCUCCUAAAGAGUAACGGAGGAGCACGAAGGUUGGCUAAUCCUGGUCGGACAUCAGGAGGUUAGUGCAAUGGCAUAAGCCAGCUUGACUGCGAGCGUGACGGCGCGAGCAGGUGCGAAAGCAGGUCAUAGUGAUCCGGUGGUUCUGAAUGGAAGGGCCAUCGCUCAACGGAUAAAAGGUACUCCGGGGAUAACAGGCUGAUACCGCCCAAGAGUUCAUAUCGACGGCGGUGUUUGGCACCUCGAUGUCGGCUCAUCACAUCCUGGGGCUGAAGUAGGUCCCAAGGGUAUGGCUGUUCGCCAUUUAAAGUGGUACGCGAGCUGGGUUUAGAACGUCGUGAGACAGUUCGGUCCCUAUCUGCCGUGGGCGCUGGAGAACUGAGGGGGGCUGCUCCUAGUACGAGAGGACCGGAGUGGACGCAUCACUGGUGUUCGGGUUGUCAUGCCAAUGGCACUGCCCGGUAGCUAAAUGCGGAAGAGAUAAGUGCUGAAAGCAUCUAAGCACGAAACUUGCCCCGAGAUGAGUUCUCCCUGACCCUUUAAGGGUCCUGAAGGAACGUUGAAGACGACGACGUUGAUAGGCCGGGUGUGUAAGCGCAGCGAUGCGUUGAGCUAACCGGUACUAAUGAACCGUGAGGCUUAACCUUACAACGCCGAAG
rnacentral:rRNA from 1 species